rnacentral:rRNA from 1 species
CGUAACGCGUAUACAAUCUACCUUUUACAGGGGGAUAGCCCAGAGAAAUUUGGAUUAAUACCCCAUGGCAUAUAUUUGCGGCAUCGCAUAUAUAUUAAAGAUUCAUCGGUAAGAGAUGAGUAUGCGUUCUAUUAGCUAGUUGGUGCGGUAACGGCGCACCAAGGCUACGAUAGAUAGGGGCCCUGAGAGGGGGAUCCCCCACACUGGUACUGAGACACGGACCAG